AAUUCAAAUAGCUGGACACCUUUUAAAAGUUUCAUUGGGCUGAAAGAAAAAUAUCUGACAAGUUUUUGAUUUGCCUUUCUCAUGAUUUGAUGUCCCAGCAGAGCAACUGGGGAACCUAAUUCUGACCAACAAGGAGGAAUUGCUUGGCUAAUUGGAAGUGACAGAAACCUUGGGAGAAAACAACCACAUACCAAGGAUAAUUAUAAGAAGGUAACAUGGGCCCUAAAGGAUAGUGUCAAGAAAUCUGAAGCCCCUAAAUGAGGCCAUUUCAGUUCCAUGUCAAGAAACACUUCCUAAUAGAACUGGGCAAAAAGUGAGUGAAUUCCUAGUCACUUGAAGGAUUCAAGCAUAAAUUGUCACCUGCUUAACUGGACAAUGUAGAAGAGGUCCAAGUAUCAGAAAUGUAUUUUUUGGUAUGAUUCCAGCUGUGUGAGAAGUUAUUUUACCUCUCUGUAACUCAGUUCUCUGUAAAAUGGCAAAAUCUGACUAAACUGCCGCCAUAUUCCU